rnacentral:rRNA from 1 species
AUUGAACGCUGGCGGCAUGCCUUACACAUGCAAGUCGAACGGCAGCACGGGAGCAAUCCUGGUGGCGAGUGGCGAACGGGUGAGUAAUAUAUCGGAACGUGCCCAGUAGUGGGGGAUAACUGCUCGAAAGAGCAGCUAAUACCGCAUACGACCUGAGAGUGAAAGGGGGGGAUCGCAAGACCUCUCGCUAUUGGAGCGGCCGAUAUCAGAUUAGCUAGUUGGUGGGGUAAAGGCCUACCAAGGCAACGAUCUGUAGUUGGUCUGAGAGGACGACCAGCCACACUGGGACUGAGGCACGGCCCAGACUCCUACGGGAGGCAGCAGUGGGGAAUUUUGGACAAUGGGCGCAAGCCUGAUCCAGCAAUGCCGCGUGCAGGAAGAAGGCCUUCGGGUUGUAAACUGCUUCUGUCAGGGAAGAAAUCCUCUAGGUUGAUACCCUUGGGGGGAUGACGGUACCUGAAGAAUAAGCACCGGCUAACUACGUGCCAGCCGCCGCUGUAACAC